rnacentral:Y_RNA from 1 species
GACAAAUGCCUUGGAAACUACAUCCGUCGCAGGUUCGAGUCCUGCCCCGCUUUCGGCGGGUAGCUCAGUCGGUUAGAGCAAUAAGGCGUUUCCAAAAAACUCGUUGUUU